GACGUGACUUCAGAGUUUGAUCCUGGCUCAGGAUGAACGCUAGCUACAGGCUUAACACAUGCAAGUCGAGGGGCAGCACAAGGCAGCAAUGCUGAGGUGGCGACCGGCGCACGGGUGCGUAACGCGUAUCCAACCUUCCCGUUACUCAUGGAUAGCCUUCCGAAAGGGAGAUUAAUACAUGAUGGUGUUGAAAUUCCGCAUGUUAUUUCAACUAAAGAUUUAUCGGUAACGGAUGGGGAUGCGUGACAUUAGAUAGAUGGCGGGGUAACGGCCCACCAUGUCCACGAUGUCUAGGGGUCCUGAGAGGAAGGUCCCCCACACUGGAACUGAGACACGGUCCAG
rnacentral:rRNA from 1 species